UGCCAAGUUACCCAGAGAAGCAGAUGGUAUAUCUGAUCAUGUCCUACAAAAUGUGAAAAGGGAAUACUCAAAGAUGUUUGCUCAAAUAUGCUAGAGUUUCCACACAAAAGGCUAUAAUGGCAACCAUAUAUAUUUUUACAUCUUCUAUGUUUGCUUUUUACUCCAGCCAGACUGAAGACACUCGCAGGCAGGAGCUGUUUCCCCAAUAUCCUUACCACCUGUGCCUAGCACACUGUAAGUGAUUUAUAGACACUUCUUGAAUACGUAUGUAUGUAUCUAUUAUUAUUAAAAA
rnacentral:lncRNA from 1 species